GUCCUUGUUCUGCUUGGGGGGCUUUAAGGAAGCAAAUGGACUUUCAGAACAGAGCUUGUCAAUAAAGGUUUUUUGACACUUCUAAUUAUAUCAAGAAGAAAGUUUCAGGCUGGAGCUGACAAAGAACUUGCUAACACUUUUCCUUUUUAAGAAAUAGAAGGCAAGCCUCGGGCUCAGAGUUUUCAGCAGGUCAGUCAUGGACCCACUAAAUACUUGGAAACACACCUAUAGCUUUGUUUGUAGUGGAGUCAUGUUCUCAGAAGACUAUCAAUAUAUUAACUGCACUGACUGUCCGUAUGAACUCAGCAAGUUGCCUGACCCUUCUGUACCACUUUCCUCAUCUGUAAAGAGGAGAUAAUAAUAGAUCCUAUCUCAGAGCUUUGUUAUGAAGAUUAAAUUAAAAUUCAUAAUCUUCACCUCUUCUGGAAUGCACUAUAUAGAGGGCAACGAGCUUAAACGUUGGAAUAUGAGAGAUCUGAAGUCAGACUCUGUUAAGUUCUCUGAAUUAGUGACAGGCAAGGCUCUGACCCUUGGUAAUCCUUUCUGUAGUGUGUGGCUGACAUCCAUUUUGCAGAGUGGAGAAGAUUAGGGACAAUGUAUAAAGGAAUGUGCACUCUGGAUGUGUAUCCCUGAUACAGACCACACUGGACACCAACUCAGGCAUUGGGGAAACGUUCUGUGACAGCUGAGUUUAGACAUGCUGAUCAUCGAGCUCCUUGAUGCAAAGCUGCUAAUAUCUCUCAUCUCCAGCUGACGGAGGCUGGUGCCACUCUGAAGCAUUGAGAGAUGCCAUGCCAAUUUAUGCGAGGUCUUUAUUGCUGAAACUCUUGCAUAAUGACAUCUUUAUUCAUGUGAAAAUACAGGAUAAAUUCCAACUAUAGGAUAUUGUU